rnacentral:lncRNA from 1 species
AAAUACAACAAUUUAGUAAUUUUUUAAUUGAAUUAAUGUCGGAUUGACUUAUGACACUAAAUCAACAAGUAAAGAAGGGCAUCUGUAAUAGGUCAAUUUUGGCCUGGGCCCAGAUCAAAACUAAAAAAAAAAACCCAAAUAAAUAAAAGUCCAAAAAGAUUAAUAGUCCAUUACAAUGAAUAAAAGCCUACCACCCAAUUACCAGCCCAAAACAAAAAGCAAGCCCAAUCAAACUAGUCCACUACUUAAUCAAAUAACC